CAGAGCGAACGCUGGCGGCAGGCCUAACACAUGCAAGUCGAACGAACUCUUCGGAGUUAGUGGCGGACGGGUGAGUAACACGUGGGAACGUGCCUUUAGGUUCGGAAUAACUCAGGGAAACUUGUGCUAAUACCGAAUGUGCCCUUCGGGGGAAAGAUUUAUCGCCUUUAGAGCGGCCCGCGUCUGAUUAGCUAGUUGGUGAGGUAAUGGCUCACCAAGGCGACGAUCAGUAGCUGGUCUGAGAGGAUGAUCAGCCACAUUGGGACUGAGACACGGCCCAAACUCCUACGGGAGGCAGCAGUGGGGAAUCUUGCGCAAUGGGCGAAAGCCUGACGCAGCCAUGCCGCGUGAAUGAUGAAGGUCUUAGGAUUGUAAAAUUCUUUCACCGGGGACGAUAAUGACGGUACCCGGAGAAGAAGCCCCGGCUAACUUCGUGCCAGCAGCCGCGGUAAUACGAAGGGGGCUAGCGUUGCUCGGAAUUACUGGGCGUAAAGGGAGCGUAGGCGGACAUUUAAGUCAGGGGUGAAAUCCCGGGGCUCAACCUCGGAAUUGCCUUUGAUACUGGGUGUCUUGAGUAUGAGAGAGGUGUGUGGAACUCCGAGUGUAGAGGUGAAAUUCGUAGAUAUUCGGAAGAACACCAGUGGCGAAGGCGACACACUGGCUCAUUACUGACGCUGAGGCUCGAAAGCGUGGGGAGCAAACAGGAUUAGAUACCCUGGUAGUCCACGCCGUAAACGAUGAUUGCUAGUUG
rnacentral:rRNA from 1 species